rnacentral:lncRNA from 1 species
UCAAUAAUCUCAGACCCAACUUCUGCUUCAAUCAAACAAAAACAAAUGUUAAUCUAAACUCUCAGAAACACACACUUGUACACAUAUAAGAACAAAUAUAUACACAGAGAAAGCGGGUUUGAAGUUAAAUACGAUAUUAGGGAUUUUGAUGAAGAUCCAAGCUCAAAUCUUUAUCAAUUUGGUGAUGAUAAAAGGGUAGAGAACAAUUGAAAAGUUCGAUUUGAGACCAAUGAAACAAUGAUUGGAUUAAAAAAAGACUACUUAUUUCCGAUGGAUAAGACUGAAACAAAAAAAAAUUAAUAAUUUUUGGGGAAAAAAUAAGCAAAAUUAUUGUUUUCUUAAGAGAAUUAGGAUACAAUUAUAAUCGAAUUUUCUUGAGAAAAUAAGGUCGGCUGAUUGGGAUAGGGGCGUGAACGAGUUGAAUUUAGAUUGGAAACGGCUUCAAAAUGGAUAUAUAUAUAUAUAUAUAUAUACACACACAUGUAUGUGUAUCUAUAUAUCUGAUAUAAUUGGGUGGAGAAAGUGAUCGGUUACAGUUAUUUUCUGAUUAGGGUUUGGAUGAGCUGCUGGCAAAGAAACGGAGGUGCAUGUGUUUUAGCGGUGAAAGAGAGACGGGAGGGAGAGUGAUAGAUAUUAAAUAGAUGAGCAAGAAGAGAUUGAGGCAGAAAGAGUGAAAAUAAUGAGAAAGAAAAGAGAGGCUGUGAACAUAUAAUAUAGCAUACAGCCUAUAGCUCCAUAAAGCCC